CUUCAGCGAGCCGAGCCACAACGGCCGGUCCUCCGCACGGCCUUGCCCGUAGGUGGCGAGCAGCGCCUGCGCCUC
rfam:Streptomyces sp. SCSIO 03032, complete genome.